GUAUGCAAAUAAAUGUCCCUAGAAAACAGCUUAAACAAAUGAAAAUGCAGCUACUGUUGUUAUUCUGUCUGCACUGUUUGACGUGACCAUAAAUUAGCCGUAGUUAGCUAGCAUUCAUCCGAUGAAGAAGCAAAGCUAAAGUAAAGGCAAAUGCAGACAUACCUCACUUAACUCAACCGAUCUCAGAACCAUAACUCUAAUACCCACAAAGUGACAAAGGUUAAAUAAUUGUUUUUGGACACCAAGAUCAGGGGAGAGCGCGAACGCAGUCCCCCACUACCAGAAAUUAUGCAAUCGAGAUUUCCACAUUUGGGAAAUUCGCACGGGUCAGCACAGCCGGAGUGCAAUGGCUGAGCCUCACCCUGGGUGAACCGCCUUCUUGAUCACGGUAUCUCCCUUGCCAGGUAAGUAUGAGCUGGAGAUGGCGGUGGAGGGCUAGUCAUUCCAGUGCACACGUUUUUGGCUGACGGUUACCACUUGGCCCCUGAUAAUAACGCAUCAUAUCGACCAGGGUUUAAUUACGUUUAUGAAUACAGUUGUGGAGAGAGCGGUGGAAAAGCGAUUAAUUUUGUUUUACUUGGUUAUAUCACUGUCCGACUAUUUUCCCGUCAUACAACACGGUAGAAAUGAUCUUUACCUUGACGUUUUAAUAUCUACACGUCUGUCUGAUAUCACAAAAGUAUGCGAUGUACCAAAAUGCUGAAAUCACGUUCGUGCACAUAUAGCCAAACGAAUGACACCAACUAUUUCUGGUGUUUCGUAGCAUUCCAGGGAUUGUAGGUAUAUAGUCGUUUCCUGAAGCUUGUGUUCAGCGCUCAGUAAACAUGUUGCAAUUACACCAUUGACCACUUGGUGGCAUACGACCCUCAGAUAUGGGGAAGAGACAGUAGCCUACUUAUUCAUCCACAAGACAGAGUAUAGGCUAGCUAGGCUACAGUAAUAGUAAGUGGGAGAAAAGUUUUCCUUAGCAGUAAGAAACACUUAUUUAUGCUUAUGCCAUGCAUAUACUGAAAUCAAAGUCAAAACAGCCUGACAUAUUAUAUGUGCUUGUUUUGACCUACCAUAGCUGAAUGUACUACUUAUUGUUUUUCUUCAUUGUUAUACUGAGUAUCUUAGCUGGCUGUAUUUUGUGAAUCGUAGGCUACUGCCCAAUCUUGUGUUUCAUAGUUGCAAUAAAAAGUUCUGUAAGCUGAUAUUUUUGUGCAAUGUCAUUGCAAAGGGUCAUACAUCCAAUUGUGAGUAGAUCGAUUCUUUUCAACCAAGAGGCAAACGCACAACCUUCAAAAUCAGAUGUUUUACUUUCAACACCGUUAUUUCCCCGGGUAGGGUGUGCACCGUUCCAGGAUGUCCUGGACUGGUGAAAAUAACGGGCAAAUCCAAAGAGUUCUGACAAAUGCAUGAAUAUCAACAUUAUGUCAACAGUUCGACAUAUACAGCACUUUCUUUUUUGUUGUUGCAGGAACUGACUCUGAUAAGAAUAAGCUCAAACGGGACACUGCUAGCAAAGGAAGAUCCAACUCUUUGAUCCGAUGAAACUGUAUUUCUUUGAACAAUAUUAGGGGGGUGCACCGUUCCUAGAGGUACUGCAAUACCAGGUCGAUGCGUGGAGUGGACGGAGCAAACCCCUAUUCCAUCUCCCUGUUCCAAAAAUCAAUGUAAUAAAUGGUUCCCGGACAGGGAGUGGAAUCGCAACGGCACCUUGCGGUUGAAGGCUCUGUUCCGAGACGGACGUCGCAUACUUUGAAAUCUUCCAAACUUUGCGUUGUCUUCAGUCCAGCCAGAGUCCGUCGAAGAACAGAAAGUUACCAAACCACAGAAGAAGAUGAAAAUAUGUCGGUUUCAGCGAUGGCUUUAUGGGAUCGCUAGCAACUUGUAAACAAUUACCCAUUCCUAUAAGGAAUUGUCAAGGAGGUGGACAGCUGGGCAAGUAAAAUAGCCUUUGGUUUAUCAUUCACAUUCUAUUAUAUCUGAAAUUAUUAUGAUUUCAAUUAAUGUCAUAUCAGAGAGCACACAAUGUUUUAAUUUGUCACUUUUUGCUUAAAGGUCAGUACCCUGUCUAGCCUGCCAGAAGUUUGAGAGGGCGAAGACUGGCGCUGGAGUUGAAGCCCAUCAAAGUUGUUUCACCAUGGCACAUGAUCGGGGUGGACCUCAUCGGACCACUUUAAAUGUUAGGGGUGGACCUCAUCGGACCCUUCACAAAA